CUAUAACUUCCUCUGUGUCACGAAUGGAGUUUCAUUACUGGGCAAGGAUGACUUUUCCUUUGUGGUGAAUUCUGAAGAGGCUGCAGGGGCUCUGUAAACUUCUCAGGGUUUCAAAAGCAGGAUGAAACUUGGAAAGCCAGGGGAAUAUGUCUAUCGUGUCUUAGUAGGCAGUAUUGCCACUCUGGGUGGGGUUCAUGUCUGUUAUCUCUGAUAGUCUGGAAGAGAAGAGUCCAGUGUGAGUGUAGGGCUCCCUCUGUGACAAAUGGGCCAUUCCUCCAAUGUCUCUUAGACAUCUCUUCGUAGUGAGAUAAACUGGAGAUGCCUCUCUUGCUGGCAAGGGGCUCCAAAAGACCAACAUAAGCCAGACUUCUUGCUUUCAGACAGCUGCAAUUGAAGAGGACGGAGGGAUGCAAUGAGCAGGCUCUUUCACCACCGUCGGUUCCUCAGAAAACAGCCAGUUGCUGUUACAGCACAGCACCACCUCCACUGCAAGAACAGGCAAGGAAAGGGGGGAAGAGGACUUGGGAUCAGGCAGUGCUACUGCUGUCACUGUGACCCAUCACAACCUGCCAGGACUGUGCAAGACAAAUUGCUGCUCCCCUGGUGACACAGAGGAGCUCCCUUUCCAAGGAGCACGGGGAGGAAACCAUAGGACUCUCUGCUCCUGAUCUGCUGGACCAAAUCCAGACGUUGCUGGUAAUCGUGAGUCAAAGCAGGGAAAACCUACACCUCUUCGGUGCUGAGAGUUCUGGGACAAAGGCAGUGUUUUAUUGAUACUGAAGCUAGUUAAAGUACACAAGGUCAAUGCUGGAGUGGAGCAGAGCCGUAGCAACUGCUUGCAGUGUGUUGUCUGCACCUCCAGCACAGUGUCAUUGGGAGAUGCACAUGACACUAUUUUCCACAAGGCACUGUAAAGAGACGAGCUUCAGAGCCGAAAGCUGAAGAAAUGCUUCUUGUCAUUGCAAAGCUGGUGACAGCUGCUCAGACAGGGAGCUUUCUGUGAUACAUCCACAUAUGUGCAAGGUAAAACAUGGGGGAUUUAAGCCGUUCAGUAUCAUGGGAUGAGCGAGGCGGUUCAGCCAAACACGAUCUCCCACUCGAACCUCUGCCCAGAGAAUGACUGGGAAUUUGCCUGCAACUCAGCAGAAAAAACAGCAGUUGCGUGCACGACAUGUUCUCUCUUAUUUAUUUAUUUAUUUUUAAAUACAUCUCUGCUACCUUGAGGAACACUUCAAGCGCAUCAGCAAGACUGCAGCAGCAGGGCCAAAAUAGGAUAAGAACUUAUUCCUGGGUCAUUUCCAGUCUGUUGGCCACCUGUGAUCUAAUGCAGCCUAAACUUAGGAGAGUUAUCUUACUGGAUGCUCCUGGGGGAAUGGCAGCUUGUUCUCGGUUGUCCUGGUCAAGUUGUGGAAGCCAGCUAAGAGUGGGGUGGUUUUGCUUGAUGCUGUGCAGAUACGGCCAGUGACAGCCCGUACCCCCAUUGAAGUAGGCAGGACACAUGGAGAGUGGGCGGUGCUGCCAACGCAAGCUGCCAGAGCACCGUGUUUAUGUGGAACUCUUGGCUUUCAUGUAAAAUAAUCAUCAUCAUCGUAAAAAAAUCUGACCCAUUCAGUUGGAAAUAUGAUCCCUUAAAGAGUCGGAAACCACAAGGUCAUUCAAAAAGGCUCAUAAUUCAUAUGUAUAUCCUUAUAACUCUUGAUUUUUAAGCCGAAAUCAUGAUGUUUGGAGGCCCAACUCAAGUCUUAUGAAUUCCUAGAGGCUGACAGUACCGAGUGAGAAAAGGGCAAAAUUAGCACAUGGGAAGAAAGAGGGUUGCCAAAGGUAUGAGAGCAAGUCAGUGGGAGAGCCAGGCCUCCUGCCUCCUCGCCCCAAGUACUAGCCACAUUGUCUGGCCUCCUUCCCCAAAGGAAACUAAGAGGCCUUAAAGAAAUCCUAGCUAUUUCAGUCUUGUGUUUCCAUCUUCCUUUUGAUGCUCUUAUUUUCAGCAACAUGUACAUUUCGCAGCAUCCUGCUGCUCCCCAUAGGGUAUUAUUCCAUCUCUGGGGCUCGUGGCCAUGAUAGUGUGUGCUGAUGACAGCUGUGGGAGUUUGCAAGUAGCUUAACAUUUGCAUGCCAUGAAUAUGCAGCUCUGAGCAUGGCCCAGUUCUCUGUGCAGCCAUCCUGUGCACGUUUACAAGGGACGGCAGCAUCCUGCAUAUUUCAGGAUCCCAGGAGACACCAGUUCCUAGUGCCUUAGGUGACAUUUUUGCGUACGCUUGGCUGUUCAUAAUCACAAACACCUGGAUAACCGGAUUUCUGGGAAAACUGCUUGCUUUUAAUCAUAGCAAAAAUCAGGGACUUCAUGGUUGAGUAGCAAUGCUCCCUACCUGAGCCAUUUCCAGGAUCUGAUGUCUGCACGGAGCCCUCCCGGCACGCAGUACAGCGCUGGCCAAGGGCAGAGCCUGCAAGCUGCUCCUCUCCCUACUGCACUGACUUCCAGGUUCUGUUUGCACCAGCCCAAUGUCAAACAUCGCAGCAGCAGCUCUGGCGGAAGUUUGGGUGAAGUUGGCAAGAGGGUCCCGAAGCUUCCAGAGGGCUGGAAAGACAGAUGGCAGGGAAGAACUGGCAAUCAGAUAAAAGCAGAAGCAUGGCACAUGAGAGGGAAGGAAAGAUGAGAUGUUCAAAAGGGGUCUUGGCAGAGCCACAGGAGAAGACCCAGCAUGGUUCAGGAGAGGACACACACUGCCCACCGGGAAAGGCUUGUGGGUGAGUAUGGAGUCUCUGACCAUGCCAGCCUCUAGCAAUGGCAGACACCUGCUGCUGAUAGGUUAUUUAGCUCAGCCUCUCUGCAAACUCAAUCCCUGCCACCAGAGCCUUCCCUAAGGUGGGAGUUUCCUCCCUUUACCGUGAAAGUGAUGGGAUCUCCUGGCUGAGAUAUGCAAGAACAGUGCCUCUGAACAGCAUCUAGUGCUCUGGGUGCAAAAAGAUGACUAAAAGAUCCACGGGAACUUCUUCCUCUUCUCUCUCCUCCCUCCCCACUUUCCUGGUUCAACCCCUAUUCCUUUCGGGAUAUUGGACUUUGAUUCAGGAAAGCAGCCCAGGUCCCGAGCAACAUUUGUCCUGGGCACAAGGGCAUCAGAAACAGAAUCAUGACUGUCAGCAGAACCGGGAAGCGCAGGCCUGCGUGGUCCCUAGGGGGAAAUUAUUUGCUGAUUGCAUCUGUUUCCCAGAAGCAUCACUCCAAUUUAUCCUGGGAUUCACGUUUUUCUCUAGCAAAUAAGCACCUCGGGAGCUUCAUUUCCAUCUCAGAUGUUAAAUUUAGAAGUGGUGCUUCCCCUUCUCCCAUCCUCUCCCUGCCCCCUCCCCAAUGGCUCCCGUAUCUCCCCUCCAGCCCCCACCCUCACCUCCAGCUCUCCCUCUUUGUCGCAUUACAUAGUAAUCUGAGAUGCAUUGGCCGAGCUCCAGGGAACAGAAUGUACUUGGCAGGGAGACGGGUCUUGAUGUCUGCAAAAUGUCGGGAAAUGCAGCCAAGAGCUGCUAACUGGGUCAUUAACCUCUAGAAGAAGAGCAAGUUGUGGAGCUGUGCUCUGUCUCCCUUCAUCUCGCCAAUAAAAAUGUCCCAGCAACGAGAGAGGGAAGAAGAGGUUUACAGCUUUAAGUCCUAAGCAGUCAAUGCAGCCACCCUCCCUGGCCCCCCUUCUCCCUACCCUCUCCCCCAGCGCAGCAUUAAAGCUUAUAAGUGGCCUUUUAAAAUCACAGCGAUUCCCGCGGAGCUGUCCCUCGGUGCUUGUAAAGAGGCUACUGGAGCAAACCAGUCGCUUCCAGAGGCGUGCUGCUCCUGCCAUUCGUGGUCAGAGGGGCUCUGAGGAAGGGCCUUUCUGUUGGGUUGCAGCCCCUGUGUGAGGUGGGACAGGGUGCUGCUAUCACCCACAGACCUGAGUGUCCCAACCUCUUUGCUGUCCCCGUGAGCUGUGUGCCACAUUUCUUGGCCAUUCCAUUGCCAUGAGUUGCCUUUCUACAUGGAGGUGCUGAAGUCGGGAAGAGGUGGCUGGUUCCUCUGUGUGGGGAAGGGGUGCAGUGCAGUGAGAUGGGCCGAGGAGGGCUCCGAGCACAAACGGCUCAGCCCGUGUCACUUGGUGCAACUUGAAAGAAAGCAAAGCUGUUUGCUGACAACGUUGAGGUCUCUGUAAUCUGGAGGGGGGUUGGAGGGCAGGCUGUGGGCUCCCCAGAACUGGCACCCACCGUUGUCUGCCCAGAAGAGGUAGCCAAAGAGUGGGGGAGGGAGCUGCAUCUCCCAAAACCUUCCACAACCCAUACCAGCUGUUGGUGGAGCAGACUGCAGGAUGGAGGUCAGUGUGGUGGUGGAUGGGAGAGGGGAAGAAAGCUGUUGCGUGGCUGGACCUCUUCCUCGGGGAUGUGGUUUCCAUCCCUCUCCUCUUCCAGAGCAGACCCUGCCUCAGGAACUGUUGACUGGGCUGUCCAAGGACUCCCCUGCUUACUUCUACACCUGAUGCCAUUACAUUGGACUUCCAUGAGUUUUUCUACCCAAGUACACCUUCCCUUUGCCCUUAAUCCAUCCUCCCUUAUAAAAGAAUGUGUAAAAUAUUCUGUCUAGGCAGAAACAGCGGAAAGCACUGCCUUCAAAGCUGUACCUCUCCAGGUGAGCCAAGCGAGACAAGGCGGAAAUGAACCACAGCCUAGGAGUGCAUUGGGUCCUGCAUGAGGACAGCACGCUGACCUGAAGAUGACAUUCGGUGCCAUUCCCUGCGAGCAGGACACUCGCGGUGCUUUGUGGCGACAACACCGCAGCGCGAAGGCACCUGGAGGGCGUCCUGUCGUCAGCUACCCAGCAAACGGAGCCUGGGGAAAGGCCGGGACAACCUCGAGCGACGCCAAGCUCCGGCAGCCCCGUUCUGCUCCGUGACCCCUCCCCGCACGGCCGGGGGAGGCCGCACCGCCGCUCCCCGAGCGCCCUCUGCUGCCUCUCCGGGGCUGGAGCAGGUGCACGGCCCGGGACUCUCCGGGGCCGCUCCUCGCCGCCCUGCGGCCAUUUGCAGUGGCCGUAAUACCGCCCUCGUCCCCUCCUCCUCUUUCCCACCCUAUACCCUAUGAGCCAACGAGCGGAUAGCCCGGGUCCUCCCUGACUUCGCCAGGUGCUUUUCCUCGGGUGCUUUGCGGACCGCGGAGCAAACGCCAAAAAAAAAAAAAAAAAAAAAGCGGGCUCAAUUCGCAGCUUAGCAUCUUUGAAAGCCUUCUUAGAAGAGAUACGAUUUCUAAGGGAGGAGCUGAGCGAAGGCCCCUUUGAAAUCACUGACCCAGAUGAAGCGACACCCGAGCCCCUAUGCCCGCUGCAGCCGCUACCGCCACACUGCUCUCCUUUCAGCAGCGUUUUGCUCGGAGGAAAUGAAAGCAUCGGAAAAGGAAACGGGGCUGAAAAGGCUCAGAUCCCAAGCGAGCGGGCUUUUGUUUUCCUAUUGUGCUAGCCCAGCUGAGCCUGUGUUGGAGCAGAGCCCUCCUGCAGCUGGGCCCAAAAACAGCAGCCAAAGAGAAACCCCGGCAACCGGCAGUGCAAAAGGAGAGGGAUGGGCAGAGCCUGCAGAACUCGACCCUGGUGGGGAGGAGAGGUGAGGGGCUGCUUCUGCACAUCCCAAGGGUUGCUGGGGCCGAAAGUGGCUUUGGAAAAACACCGCUGCACAUUGGUGAUACAUGUGCUGCUUCACAUGCAGAGCUGGAGGUAUAGCUGCCAUUUCUGCCGAAAUCCUUCCUUGAGGGCAUGCCUGAAACAACUGGGCUCUGCAAGAGUGAGCACUGUCCAGAGCGCAGCCCUGCUAGCUCGGUGUUGGCACAGGGACAGCACUGCUUUCUCUUCCAGUAAGCAAGGGGUUAAACUCAGCCUGGCUUCCCCUGUGUGCCCUGUUUGGGGAAUGGUCUCGUGGGUACCCAACCAGUGACAAGGUGCCUGUAGAAGGGAGUCCGUUGCUCAGAGGUUGAUAUAAAAAGGGAUGAGUCUGGUAAGGUUGCCUCAUGGCUUUUCUUGCCUUUCUUAGGCAGAACAGAUCUGCUGGAAGCGUUAAGUAGCGCUCAAUGCAAAAGCAGCACCGGACUCACAGGGAUGCUGAGCUUUGCCAUAUACCUACUGCAGCUGGGUUCAUGGUCCCCUCUUGGGUUCCAUCUGCUUGAGCUGAAGGUGGUGUUGUCCUUUGUGACCAAAAAGGCUGCCUCUGAUGUUGAAGCCGCUGUCAGCCCAGCUGACACAGCAGAGGUGACAGAAACCUUUUCCUCUCACUUGGGUGAUGCUGGAGAAUGACGCCUAAGGACUGUGCCCUUCAGGAACCUUGCUGAGCCUCUCCUGGCCUAACUCUGAAAAGCAUGACAUAACUGAAGCUGGGGACACAGACUCCAGUGCUUAUGGUGAUUUAUUCGUUCCCAGACUGAGGGUUUGUCUCCCCGAAUUCUUACUUUAAUGAGGCUGCGAUCACAGAAUCAUAAGUAUGGCUUGGGUUGGAAGAGACCUCGAAGACCACCCUUCUCAUGGGCAGGAUUGUCACCCACUAGAUCAGGUACUAGAUCAUUACAGAAGGACUCUGCCUGCUAACCCUGCUACUUACCACUGCCACAGCUAGUAACUUUAAGAGCAGAAUGACACUGCUGUUGUUAUUGCCCUGCCAUGCAAAUAUCUGUCUGGGUAAGGGACCCGGCUUUAGUUUUCCAGUCUCAUAGCAUUUGGUGAAUUUUUGGUGGCCCUUCUUCCUGGAUUUGUGUUAUUGCAUGAAUGUUUUUAUUUAUUUUUGGAGAGAGGGCUUUUACGCUGCAUAAUUACUGAGGGGAAAAAGGCUUCAUCCUUAACGGCUCCCCAAAGUAAAUAAAUUAAAAGAACUGGCACUCAAAAACUUCUCUUUAUGCUAAUGAUAGGAGAGACUGAUGACUUGGGGCCUCUGAACUCCUGGAGUCAAACAACAUCGCUUCCACUUCCUGAAAUGAGUUUUCCUUUAAGGAUCUGCGUGUGUUUUCUCCGGCUGAUUAAGGCUCUACAAUGUUUUAUUCAUGCUCAACCCGGGAUUAUCAGCAGUGUUUUACAUUUCAAACCAACCAUUUCCAAGACUUCCUCAGCUCAGGGAAGCUGUGCUUCCUCAGUGCAGCUCGGGGCUAUUCCUAGAGAAGGUGGCUCAGCUAUUACUGCUUGUUACCCUCGCUCACUAACCUCUGUAAUGAACUGUACAGCCUUUGCUGGCUCGUUUGCCUUUUCUAUGUUGCUUUUUGUUUUUUCUUUCCCUUUUUAACAUUCCCAAAACUCUAUGGCAAGUGAUCAUCUUUGUAUGAGUCAGUGCUGAAGCAGUGAAGUGUCAGAUUUUAUCCAAAGAAGGAGCUGCACGUCGGCGCAGGGUGAAGCAUUUCUUGGGUAUACACGAGUAUCUCAAUAGCAACGUUCAGACAUCCACGGCUGGCCAGGCUGUUUCUGCCUGACCCGGGGCCACAUGGAGCUCUAUGGUGACCACUUCCAUUUCCAAAGUGUCACCAUUCCUAUGAGCAAAAAACAUUUCCCUUUUGGUGCAAACCCCGAAGGGACAGAAGGCAGCAAGCUCUGAUCACGGAAGAGAAGGAGCGGUCCAUUGCAUUUGCAAAUCAUAAGGUCCCAACUGCUGAAUCUCACUGAAGUCAGUGGUUGCAACAGCGAAGUAAUUCAGCUGUCUGAGGGAAAUACAUGGAGAAGAGCCCGUGUCUCCAGCUGCAUGGUUACCACACAGCAAAGAGGGUUAUAUAUUAAAAUUGUGAGACUGUUUAAGCGCUCUGUAAUUAACUGCUGUCUAUUUAACCAGACAGCUAAAGCAAGUUAAUUCGCUGUCAGUUAGGAGACUUAUUAAGCAUCUGCAGGUUUUUCUUUUUAACAAUUUACUGGUCCAUCAUUAACUACCCCUAGAUUAUCUUGUCAAAUUGAUAAUUAAAUGCCUCAAAAAUUCAUUACAGACUCAAUAUAUUAAUAGGAAUAUAAUUAAGUAAUGUUUGCUUAUGCGAUCUGCAGUUUAUUACCUGCAUGCUGAUUUAUCUCCAAGGCAUUUACUAAACCUUAGCUGUAGCCUAUUCAGAAUCAAUACAGGCCCAGGAGUCAAUAAACACCGCAUUAGAUGCAAACAAGCUGUUUAAUUGGGAGAACGCAUUGAAGUUGUCUUCUGGAUCUCCUGUGAGUUUGAUAAGGGAGGUGUGAUCUUAGGAGCACCGACCAAAACUCGUGGUUGCUAUUUUAUGGCUGGGUCAGAAUCGUGCCUGAAGAACUGGUCUGAUUUUGUUGCCUGUUUGCACUGGGUUCUGUGGUCUGUAGGAAGCUGCCUAAAUUGGCCUUACUGUGCUAGUAAGUUGGUGCAAGGGUAAAUCAGAGGCUCUAUUUUGUACCAAACGCUGGAGUUGACUUCUCUUGUCCUGCUUAAGAAAGAUGACAGCCAAACCAUUCCCUUACAUUUGUAAACCCUUGAACUCUGCACGUAAGGUGGAUUUUUCAGGAACCUUAAAAGUCACUUCAUUAACUUUAUUAAGUUUGAAUUUCGGGAAACUAAUUUUUUAAAACGGGAGGGGAACAAUGCUGCUUCUGCUCCGAGUAACAGAGAAGAUGGAACAAAACAGCAUAGGCCUGCUGUAUGCAGAAAUUAAGGGAAACCGUGUGCACAGCUGUGCUUCAAGACAUCGGCUUGCAGUUAAGAUACAUUAUCACUGGUUACCAUCUGCCUGCAUUAACCAACCUGCAGCUCGGCUAUCGAUCAAGAUAAUAAACCUGGGGGGAUGUGGCCACCCUUCCUUUGCAGCUGCAUGUGCCUCAUGAUGUUGUGGUGUUGGUGGCAGGAGGUAUCUGGACCCCAGGGUGCACCCGAAGCUGCCAUAGCUGCACCCAUCCACAGAGCCAUCUCGUGGGGGUUUUGCAAGCUAGAGCUCCGGGUUUGGUUUUGUGGCUUUCUUGUUAAUUUUAAAGACUGGGGAGUUCCCGUGAAGAUGGGUUCAAGCUUGUGUGUACGUGUGUAUGAAAUGCAUGAUUUAAGAAUAAAUAGUAAGCUGAAUUAUUUCAAAUCGCAGCAUCACAAACCCCGUAAAGUGGAGAGUUAUAUUGAAAAGAAAUUAUAAACGGUUAAAGUAAAACCACAGAGUAUCUGAGCUGGGAAGGACCCACAGGGAUCAUCGAAUCCAAGUCCUGGCUCCACACGGGACUACCUAAAAAUUAAACCAUAUCAGAGCAUAACAGCAUCGUAGCAGCCCUCUGAGGGACUUGAGCUUCCCUGUGCUGUCCAGUGGUGUUACAAAACAACUGUAUUGUCCUCAAGAAGACAUUUUGGUGCUCUGUGGCCCUGAUUAGGUGAAAUUAAUGUCUUACGUGCUAUAUCGACGUUUAGGUCGUCCUUCUACCCCUUGGGGGUGACUAUUAUUGCUUUGCUGCCCUGCUUUGAGCUACGGUGCCCUUUCCAGGAGGAGGCAGGGGAAAGAAGCUGGCAAUAUAUCAGAUGGUUUUCCUUUUUCUCCACUGUUAAACUGACAUUAAUGACAACCAACCUAUGAUGGACUGUGUGAAUACAGACCGGAAUCCAAGACAGCUCUGACACGUGACUCAUUUGUGAGCAUAUCUCUGGGGUUUAACUUUUAACUGUGUUUUUUUGGUUGUUUUUUUUUUGCCCAACUUAGGGCUAAUUCAGCUUUGGGUUUCACUCUCAAAUAUAUUCGGGCUGUUUUCUUUUCAAAACUGGUAUAAAAACUGGCAUUCUACUAUUUGUAUUAUACGAGAGGCUGGCCAGAACCGAGCUGAGCAUUCCUGGAGCAGAGUUCCCAGCAGGCAUGUUUGUGUGUGUGCAGCCCUCAGUGUCUGCCAGGCUCUUCUGUAAAGUGUUUAUAAUACCUAAAAUUAAAAUAAUAAUAAUAAAAAAAAAGCAGGAUUUUCAUCUGGAAAACAUUCAGUUCCAGGGAAGCCUUCUUGCUGGAGGAGCAGAUAUGAGGGCAAAACUGGAGCUGGUAUUUACAGGGCGUUUUUCCAUGCGUUCUAUGUGUGCAUCAUCCUUCCCUUCGUCUGUCUGGAUACAGAGCCUCGCAGGUCCUGACCAGGAAUGCAGAGCUGUUGUAAAAUUCACACAUGCUUGUCUACUAAGAGCCUGUGCAUGGGAAAUUUGGUUAGGAAAUAUUUUCCUGCUUCAUCCUUCUCGGAGCUUUACUGGAAUUGUAGCUGAACCAAACUUUUCUGAAAACUCUGAAAUGCUUCAGUAACUUCUGUUUGUUUUCCUCAUGCCUCUCUACUUGGUUUCUGGCAGGGCCUGAAAGCAGCACUGAGUCACUCGGUAAAGAAGCCUAUUUUGACAGCAUCCCCCUGGCCUAAGCAGGAAGUUCUCCAAGUCUGAAGACAUGGAGAGUUCUGGAUCUCGCAUGGUUAAAGCCCAGAUGUGCAAACCCUGAGAGGUGCUUAAGCUUCUGGAAAUGUUUAGACCGUGCAAAACUGGCAGUGCCGAGAGCCUCAUCUGUCACCGGAGUCAACCAAAAAGGUGUCUGCAGCACAAAUCCCCAAUCCUACGGUCACAUUCUUUGAAGUUCUGUUCUCUAACAUGACUAUUUUUAACAAAGGGGAGGGGGACAGUGGGGAGAAGCUCCAUCUUACUCACCAAAUCUGCGGGCUCCCUGUGUUCUGAGUCAUAGCUGCUGGCUGCACUGACAAAAGCAAGCUUUUUUAAUUUGAUUUCUACCCUCAUUGGUACAGUAGAGGGGGCACAGCAAAGACAGGGACAGCAGUAGGAUUGUGCAAGCAUCAACAAGAUGAUAAAUGGAUCCAUCAGUUUUCCUUGCUGGGAAUAAUAAUAAAGAGAAGCCCGAUUUUUCUCCCAGACCUCAGCAGGAGUUUUGCAAGGUAGAAAUCGGGCAUGGGAAGGAAGGAGGUUAGGAGGAAGAGGUGGAAAGUUGUUCGUCAGUAGAAGAGAGAUACAACUAUGAGCAUUCGAUGUACCACCAUCGUUCCUCUGUACAACACCAUGUCAGUGUUGCUUUACAUAGAAGAGACACUGAAGCAGAUCCCUCCACAAACCAUACAUCUGACAAAUGGGCAUCUCCCAGCAGUGCCUGUGUGUGAUGUGAUGCUAAGGAAGGUGCAGAGGCGGUCACCCUGUGUGAAUCCAACCACCUGCCUGCGUCUUCUGCAAUGAGGAAGGAAGGGAAACAAGUGAAGGAUCGAAAGGGGAAGAGCUGGGUCUCUUGGUAUUCGCUAGCUAUACGGUGCCUGCCAUGAACGAGUCAGCACUUGUUAGCACUUCCUACGUGGUGGGAUGUGGCACACCACACUCCUCACCCCGUGCACAGAAGAGGAAAUUGCUGAUAACUGUGAUAGUUUGCUGUUGGGCUACCUCACUUCGGUUAUCUAAACUGUUAUAAAAUACAUCAAGGUGAAGAAAGGGGCCUUUCGGUUGCAUGCUAAAUAUCACCCUGCUUUCUGUACUCCAACAUUAUCUGUUGCUGCUCUGCACUGUCAAGCUGAGAUCUCACCCCGAAGCAGUUGUGUUUCAGCACUGAAUACAGCAAUUCCUAACAUGUGAAUGGCCGUACGCCUCAUGCUCCCACAGCCAAAAUCUCCAUUAGAGCUUAUUUUAUAGCAGUUCAUACCUUUGUGUUUGCAGAAGACUUUGGGUACCAUCUGGGAAAAAUUGUUCUUUGUUAAAUUCUCCUUUAUUCCCUUUGGGUUAUGUUUUUAAGGCAGGAGAUGCUGAAGGAUGUUCUGAGGACGGUAAAAGCAGCUUGAAAUGAAGAUGUAGGAGGAAAAGUACUCAAGCUGUUUUUCUGCUUUUGCGAUUGAAAGGAAACUCAUGAUAUAGCAAAUUUUCAAUGGCACAAGAAAUUCUGCUGUCUACUUCAACAUGGCACUAUUAGGCCAGCAACAGGGGGAGCAGCUGCUCAGCCAUUGUAUAAUUGACAUCGCUGAUAAUGACCUUGGAUUCAUAAUUAAGGUUCAUGAGGAUCAGAGGAGGAAAAAAAAAAAAAAAACCCAGCCCUAUCCUUACAAAAAAAAAUGAUAUAAACAACUGUGUGAGUGAGCACAUUGGAACACAACUGAGGGCUGAAGAAAUCCUGCCAGUCCCAGGGCCCUGCAGGGGGUGAGAUGUGGGCGCUGGCGCUGGGAGAGUUUCCAGCUCUCUCCUGGUGAUGCUGAGCACUUGACCAGAAGUGCUGACAUUUUAAGAGGAGGUCAGAGAGGCUGGGGUUAGAACACGCUGCUGAAAACAACAAGAAAAAAGAAAGGGAAAAAAAAAGUAUUUUUGCUGGGAAUGAAUGGACAGGUUCAUGGCAGUAACACUGGAUCUGCAGCAAGGCGUGUUGCCUCCCAGUGUAAUCAGUGCCUCAAAAACACAUGCUGGCAUGUGUUGGAUGUCGAUACCUCCUUUAUCAUACAUAUUUGAGAGCUCAGACUUCAACUGCCACCUGAAAUGAGCACUGUGGUUUUCUUUCCCCACUCAGUGGGUUAUUUGGUUAUGAUUCUGUAUCCUUUCCUGAGGCUCUUUAGAGUUCCGUGUAACUUUCAUCCAUUUCUCUUUCUAGCAAAAAUAUAUUUCAGGAAGUUCCAUAAUUGCACAUGUCUAUAUGGUGAGGUUUGGCACAGAAAACCUGGUGUGAGGUUGGCUUUUUUCUUCCCUUUCAACUUACAAUGUUUAAAUAGGGUUCCUACACAGAUUCAAAAAACACAUUCUGCUGGGUCAUGCUGGAGCUUUGAGUCAUAACUUUUGUUAAACAGGGAAGAAAAUCCACCAAGUAUUAUGAUGCAAACAGUCCUUAUGGAGAAUCCCACACUGCUCCUGUGUGCAGAGAAUUUGCCACUCGGUUUCUGUUGUGCAUUUUGAACUACAAACCUGCAGGCAAGUGUGGCAGUGCUCAGAGUUCAGCAGAACUUGAGUACUCUGGGUUUUGUUUGGGUUGUGCUUUAUUAGGCUUUAGGCUAUUAAGGGAGGGGACUCCAAUUUCCUUUAAUAAAUAAUGUUUGCGUGCACUUGGGAAAUGGCAAUCAUGUUUUGCUAACUACUGAAACCUAAUGCAUGAGAAAUGUAAAGCUGGAUGAGCACCGUUUUAUUCCAGAGUUUGAGUUGCAUUCUUGGAUGGGGUUACAAGCCUUUUUGACUGUGGGGUAGGAGCUCUGAAGCGAUGCCUUUCAGAGCUGCCUCGAAACACCACUAAAUGACUGCUUUCAUGAGACUCAUUCUUAAUCAGGAGGCGCCUGGUACCUUAUGGAAGAUGGAUCCUGUCAAGCCAGACUUGGGAUUAUUUGUGAUGAAAUUAAAAAUAUGGUCAAUAAGAUACUUGUGGUUUGAGACUCAUGAAAAAUAUUUGUCUUGGUACUCAAAAUACUUAAACUAGAAUGAUUCAAAAUCAAUGUGGAAGAGUAAAAGGAUUAAACUGGCUUGGAAACACAUCCCAAAAGGUAAUUGUAAACAGGAAAUCAGAAUGGAGUGGGUGUAUUUCUCGUGGGGUCUCCAAGAUUGUUUUGUAGCUCUAAAUGACCGAAUGUUUUACAAAUGGCCAAGCAGAAAACAGCAGUCAGGCACCAGCGUGGCACAUGACACGAGGCCUGGUCAGGGGCUGCUUGGUGAGCUGAACAGGUGAAGCACCACGUUCUGUAGUGACCUCACGCCCAGAGAGGGGAGGUCUGGUGAAGCCAACUCCCUUCUGCUGCAGCCAUUUGCUCAGACCUCCUGGUGCAGUCCAUGAGCAUGUGAUCCUCGAGGGAAAGCAGCACGAACAGUGAUAAAAUACUUGAACUGCAGCUGUCCCCUAUGAGAAGCCACAGACAACACUGUCAGGGUGCCCUGGUUAUUGUCUGGCUCUGCAGUCCAUAUGAGAAGAAGAGUCAUCGAAACAAGGAUGGGCCCUACCAGUUAUGGGUGAGAUUGUGCUAGAAGAAGUUGAAAUGCGGAAGAGAAGUUGCUUAUGGCAUGUGAAGAAUGAGGCUGUUCGAGACAGGAUGCCAGGAGGUCUUUGACCUCCUAGUCAAUGAGGAAAGGUCCUUUUUUAGGCUCCUAAGUAUGCCUGGAUUCAGACAAAGUGUAGUUUGCUCCAGCCGAGCUCCCAGCCAUUUUCCCUGCUGAUGAGUUUUCCUGUUUACUCUCAUUGCACAGGGUGGACUGAUGGAGCUUACACUGACUUGGACAGAGUGGAGGAAGUUAAAUGUAGCAUCUGAAAGAAUAAAGAAUGAGAAUUAAGUACUGCACAGGCCGUGGGGCUGAGUUAAGGCCAUUAGUUGCAAGAAAGAAAUGGUAGUGGUAGGCAUUUCCAGAUCUGAGUGUAAGUGUAGCUGGAAGCUACAGGGCAGCAGGACCUCCUGGCUCUAGAUAAAAUAGAACAGUGCUUCCAGAGCUCCCUAAAAUACUCUUCCGUCAAAACUAAUGAACAGAUUACUUUCUGCCAGUGCAAGUGACUAGACAGGUAGCAACAGCAUUUAAAGCCUGAUCCACCUCUGUCAGAAGGUACACGGAGUAGGCACAGAACAACAGCUCGGGAUUGCCCAUCUGAGAUGUGAAGCAAGACUAAGUAUGGUUACUUGAAGAGGAAAUAAGGGUCAAGAUGUCCACUCAUGUCCACACAUGGCUUAUAAAACUGGUGAUUGGGUCGUCUUGGCUCUGUGACGAUGAUGUCCCUGCUGAUGGAGCCUUCUCCUGUCUCACCUCCCGGUGCUGGCUGGCUGCUGGCUUUGUUUUUGUUUCAGUUUUUUUUUCCCCUUCUAAGGGCUUAUAAAAGGCUGUUUAGUUUUGUUUUUAAAGGGUGAAGAGGGGAAAAAACAACUUCCAGAAAAAAAACAACAGCUCAAGCUCCAGGAGCCAGAUCUUAGCAUGAGAACCCGACUCACUGUAGGGGAGGGCUGUGUCAGAUCACUGCAUGCUCCAGGAGCAAGAAUUCAGUGCCUGCUGAAAAGCCACAGAACUCAGACCCUAUUUGAAAGAGUAACAUCUUUGAUAUAAAAAAACAAAAACAAAUAAACAACAACAGCAAAAAAAAACCCCAUCACCCAGCCAAUAAAAAGCCUCAGACAUACAGGAUCCCAUUCAUGGUGGGAGGGAUUUAGUGGAAGUAUUUUCCUUCUUUAAGGUUUGGCAUGGCCUUAAAGGAGUCUCUUUAAAAGCUUCCAGAGCCGAUUAUAUUUUGGAUUGUGUUUCACAUCACCCUUCCCCCACCACGUUUGGUGGGUCCUCAAACGAGUUCCCAGAAUAAAUCAGACAUAACGGUAGCGGGAUUUUAUUUUUUAUUUCAUUUUCUUUUUUUUUCUUGAGGAGGAGGAAGGAAUAAAUGACACCAAAUUCUGUAAUGGAAAGAAAAAAAAAAAUAGUGUGUAUCGGAAACUGCUGCUGAGUGACUCACGCUGCCGGACAAACGGAACCUCACUCAUCACUCCAUCUUCAUCCUCCUCCUCUGGUGAGAGAAAAAGUCUUGGAAAAAUAUCAGCACCCCCCCCCCUCCCCGUUGCUUCUCCCGUGGCAUCUGUACACAGGGAAGCGUUCCAAGCCACAGCAAUGGCUUCAUGUGCUUCUUGGGGCAGGCUUUUUUUUUUUUUGGUGUUGUUUUAAUGGCCAACUAGGAAAAGCCUCCGAGGUGACCUUGGAAAAAUAUAUGCACCAAAGGAAAAAGGGUUUUUUUCUUCGGGGGGUGGGGGAGCAUUGGAGUUGGUGUGUGCUGUAUGUUAGGAGGGUUGUGCUUUUCUUUCCUAAUAGCGUUUUUUCCAAAUUUCCACUGAAAUAAAUUUGCAAGUUAUUAUUAUUAUUAUUAUUAUUUUUUACGAGUGGGAAGAGAGGGGAGGAUGCGCCGUGCGAAAGGCAGAAGGAGCCGAGCACAGCUCCGACUUCCAUAAGUGCUGCGUCAUAGGAGCGCAAAGGGCAGCGCAGGGGGAAGGGUGGGACGCACACAAUCGCUCCGUUUCUCCUCUCUUCAGGAGAGUGAUCGGCAUUUUUAUGAAACAUAUGAACAGUAUACAAACCAAAUAUGUUUUCAUUACUACAAAACUGGGGGGAGUCUUCCACCCUACCUCCCCCCCCCCCCAAAAUGUUUGGCACUGUCUACCAGAAAGGCCGCUUAAAAUGCAUUUUUUUCUGACUGCCGUCCACAUCCAGCCCAGCUGUGGGCACAGAGAAGCAUUCGCCAGCACAGCCCCUGCCCAGCAAAUGCCUUUUCAGUUGUGGGGGAGCUGGGCUAAGCAGGUCGAUGCAAUGGCUGUGUUCCACCCAGCUACAAAGCUCGCUUGAGGAGAUGCUGUGUCUUGGUUGUUGUUCACAAACAGGUUAGUUCGUUAUUUCUCCCUUCAUCCCCAGCUUUGGGCUUGAGUUAGAUUGUGCACUGACUGAAAAUGGCCAUGUAGAGGUACUGCACUAUGUUCUGUCAUGCUGUUUGUGAUUGUUUUCUCCACAGCUGAGGUUGUCAUCAUCCUAUGAUGCCUCUUUCAGUACAACUACUUCACUUCCACAUCUUCCCAUUAUGAAGCUCUGCCCUCCAUCCAGCACUGUAUGCUCUCUACAACCCAGCUUUCCUCAUCAUCAGCUCAGGUUUGUGCAUCAUAGUGUCUGCAGAACUGCAAGAGCCCCCAGGAUGCUGGAAAGGAGCAAUGCCAAAAGCGGGGAGUGGCCUGCAGCAGCAACUUGGGGCAGCCACAAGCCAUCUGGGAACACAGGACAAGGGCAGUGGUUUUCUUUGCCCAAUUGACACCCUGCAGGGAUAAUAUACAGAAAACCUGCCCUUUCAACAAGAGAUAUCCUUUCCUUUUGUUGGCAUGCAGCUACCAUGGAGCACCUUUCCUCACCCACAGCCCUUCCCUGGGCUCAUGAAGCCCCAUCUCCGUUCUGUUCCUGGCACAGCUGGGGCAACAGCGAGCCCUGCUCCUGCACCCCAGUGCCUGCAGGCCAAGGACGAGCCCCAGCUGCCUUCCCCAGCUGAGCCUGUAAGCAAUUGCUGAACAGUAAAUGACUUUCAGCUGGACUGUGUUAACCAUGGGUGGUGCUGCCCUGAGAGAUGGCUGCAGGGAGCAGUGGCUCUAUUUAAGGCAGUAUUCCCCCCCCGCCCCCAAUCCCUUUUGGGCUGUAAGUGAGGAUGGGACACUUGUGUUGAGGUGGUCUUCAGGAGUGUUGUGCCUGUGCUGGUGGCCCUGGAAAAGCCUUCCUGACUGUUUGCAGAUCUGGUAGUGUAGAGGAAAUGCUGAAUCGCAGCCUGAAGUGGUGAUUGAGCACCUGGUGGGAAGGCAGGGCCAACCCAGGGAGUUCAGGUGCAUGCAAUGUACCUGAGUGACGAGGAGGUGUGGAGCCAGGAUGCACCCUUUCCCAGACCUCAUUUAAGGGUUUGCAGUGGAGGUGAGGGUGACUUGCUGGAGAUCCCUGCCUUUGUGAGGCCUUCCAAAGGCUGUUGAAAUGUCAGAUGGUAAAAACAACCAAGAGUUCCAGAUGGGGCAAUUGGAAGAGAAACAUGCUGAAGAUGAUAAUAAGAAAGUUCUGGAUUCUCUCAAGUGGGAGUCCCAUGUCCUCACCUGUGACUUCCAAAUGCAGUCACUGUUCAAGUCUUGUGCAAAGCAGCAUGCCAUGAGGAAGUUCUUCAUUAUUAGGCGUUCCCUCAUUUGACCAGGAGUGUUUGACCAAACCAUAGAGGGUCGGUGUCAUGAGGAGCUCAGAGGAAAUGUCACAGAGCUCUUUGCUGCUGAGUGGGAGGUCAUGAAGAGUUUGGAGUCUGGCUGUGGUGCUGAUACAUAUGAUGGGUUGAUGGAAAGAAGACAAGCCUGCGAGCGAUGCAACGUGGUGGUGCAUUUGAGGUCUGUGAACGUGAAACAAGUGCCCAAGCAGCUAGCUUGUGUUGAUCUUUGUGCUAGCAUUGCUUCACAAGGCACUGGUGUUUGUUCUGGCUCUACUAGAGGCAGGCGUACACUUAGACUGCAGACCUACUGCCAAUAAUCAUCUUUCUGAAGAGAUUGCUAGGACUGACAGAAAUAACGAGAAGGAGCAAGUUGUGCUGAUCGUGGCCUCCUACCUACUGGUCUGCAAAUGGGGCUUCACCAUGCUGAGCUGCUUCUGAGCACUGCAAAUCCACUGAUUCUGACCACCGUUGACUGUGUUAGCCGCUUUGUUAUCCCAGGAACAUGUCUGGAGAAGAGAGUGCAGCAACAUCUGGAGGAUGGUGAACUGCUACGGUGAGGAAAACUGCAUGAUCUAAGACAGAAUGGCCAGUCCUCAGAAGCUGAGCUGGAAGGAUCAUUUGGGCAUUCCAGCUGCUGCAGGUGGGCCAGCAUGGCUGUCUGCUGAACUCCUCAUGUCUACAGAAGGAAGAGCUAUUGAGUGGUUAUAGCUGAAAGCCUUGCCUAUCUAAGGAAAUGUCAGCAACAUAUUGAAGUAGGAGAAGGAACAAGGCCUACAGGUCCCCCGGAAUUGUGUGAAGGAAGGACUACUCCUGCUCCAUUGGAACCUGUGGUCUAUGUAUGUCCCCAGCAAGACCUUCACAGAACAUCAGGCAAGGGAUUGUACUGGAAGUUUCAGCAGUGUCUGCCAGGGAAGCAAUACACCCCUGUUCAAGGCAGCACACAACUUUUCAGCACAGAGGUAGUGCCUGUGGCAGCAUUGGGAAGAAUCCAUGAGACAGCAGUGUCAAGCUCUCUGCACUGGCUUUCUGGCAAGGGUUCUCUCCCUGAGCAUGUUUUUUCAUGGGAUUUUCAACAGUAAUGCUUCUAUUCUAGGCUGAUGAAUAAAGAGUGGAAAAUGGGGCACAGACUUUUUUUCCAUUGAACUUUGGUGACUGUCCAGUUUACAGGUAGGUCCUAAACAUUCUCACUGAUAGUGUGCUUUGAUUGAAA
ensembl:lncRNA